GUGAGAUAACUGAGCUUGACCAGGGAUUACACACCAAAUGGCUAUAGGUUGCAGGUCCUUCUGGUUGUGCUGUGUGGGAUGCCACCUCAGCAUGGCCUGAUGAGCGGUGCCAUGUCUGCGCCCAGGAUCCGAACUGGUGAAACCCAGGGCCCUAAGUGGAGCGUGUGGAUUUAACCACUUGGCCAUGUGGACAGCCCCUGUCCGAGCCUUUGAUAUACUAAGGCCGUGCUGUCCAACAUGGCAGCCACCAGACACAGGCAGCUAUGGAGCACUGGAGGUGUGGCUCGCCUGCUGUGAGAUGUGCUGAGCGACUCAUAAAGUUAGUGUUUCAUGGAAUGUACUUCUGGAAAGAGCUCCAACUCCAACGCAUGAUUUUAUGAUGCUGUGAGAGACGGAGGAGCGACGUCCAGGAUUUCUCCUUGCCUUUGAUUUUGGUGGCAUUAUGCCCAAUAUGUAAACCGAAGCAGAUAUGAAAGCCUGCUUGACUCCAUCAUGCCUCAGGAUCGCUGAGGAAUCACAUUUUCACACGUGAAAAUGCCCCAGGAUCCCACUUAUGGUAUCUGUGUGCUGCCUGGAUUCAGAAUGAGGAAGGUUAGGGUGCGGUCCAGGAACCUGUAUCUCAAGCACUCCUGGCAAUUCUGUUGUAGGAUUUCAAGCGUUUCAUGGAUUAAAAAAAACAAAUUCCGGUGUGCUAAUUCAGUUAGUCCAGGACCUCAUUUUGACAAACACUCUCAUAUGGUCUUAAAAAGUUGAAGUUUUAAAAAAUACUGCUUUAGAGAUAUUUUUGGUUGGGAAACAUAUGACCCAUGUUCUGAGGGAACUUAGAAUCUAAUAAACGACGUUGUGAGAUAGAUAGGUGGGUAGAUAGAUAGUUAGAACCACCUUCUUCUCGAGAUACUCCUUAAACAACUAGAAUGUCUGAGUCUAUUCGGCUUUGACUCUAUUGCUUGGAAUCCUUUUGCAUGGGGGCCUGAGAAGCUUCCUAGGAGAGAGUUCACUAGAGGCACAGGGUUUGACCCAGUUACAAGGCCCCACCAGGAAGGAAGAUGCUGCAUCACCAGGGUCUACCACAAUGCCUGACAUGUGAUGGGCAUUCAAUAAAUACCUCUUUGAAUGGAUAAAUGAAUAAGUCAGUUAAUGAGACAGUGAAUGAAUUCUGACGUCUUUAGCUUGGUCCGUGGCUCCACGACCACAACUCCUCAGUUCAUGAUCCAAUCUUAGGGGGAAAGCAUGAUGCAAAUAAAAUCUGAAAGAUGUUUUCACUGAAAAAUUGUAAGACAUGGGGGUGCAAUAGCAUUGCUUAGCCCAUGUAUCACAUAAAUGGGGUGAGAUGCAUUCCCUCUUCCUGGGUUGGGAAUACAGAGGUGCUUUGAUGCCCAGAGGCCUAGUGAUCCUUUGAAUCUCAAGGGUCUAACCCACCUGCGUGAGCAGAUGCGAUGCUGGGGUGAUGAGAGGCAAGCAGUGCUGUCCAACAGCAGGUGGCUUAGCAGUGGAUGUAGGGCACAGUAGAAGGUGCCUUCCUGGUCCCUUACACACAGUGAAUGACUCAACUGUGUAUAUCACCAAAGAGUUCUUUUAGAUCAGAAGAGAGAGGAAUGGCCUGUAUCACAUCAUAGAAGGUGUGACAUAUUUGUGAACUAUUUCUGGACAUUCUCUGUAACAAAUGGCAAGGUCUUGACAGAAAAGUAAGGCAAUGCCUCUUAAACUUUAGUGUACCCCUGGGGAGCUUGCUAAAAUGCAGAUUUUGAUUCAGUAGGUCAGGUGGGGACUGAAAUUUUACAUUUCUAAGAAGCCCCCAGGUGGUGCUAAUGCUGCUGGUCCAUGGACCACACUUUGAGUAGCAAGGAUCCAAAGAAUUUGUAGUUUAAAGUGAUGAUAAGAGGCAACGAAGUAAAGGUUCUCACUAUUAAUAGGGUGCCAUAAGGAUGCCCAAAUCAGUACUGUUUUGGGGAAAUCUAGAUGAUAUUUAGAAAUGAGUGGUAAAUUCAAAGGCAGGAGAACUUACCAAAACAGGUGUAACAUUCUACCAAGGGCCCUGAUGGAUGGGAUUCAUUCAAGAGAGAAAUAUUUGGGGGGUGGUUUGUGCAAGAUCUUUGCAGAAAUAGUAUGUAGGAAUGCUCUUCCUAAGAGAGGAUGAAAGUGGUAAAAAAUGAUCAUUGCAACAUUAUUCAGAAUAGCCAAGAUGUGGAAGGAACCCAAGUGCCCAUCGACAGAUGAUUGGAUAAAGAAGAUGUGGUAUAUACAUACAAUGGAAUACUACUCAGCCAUGGAAAAGACAAAAUUGUCCCAUUUGCAACAACAUGGAUAGACCCUGAGGAAUAAGCAGUAUCUGCCCAGGGAGCUGAGCAGAGGGCGUGUGUCAUGUGGGUGGAAGUUUGGAGCCGGAGUGGUGGCUGUUUGUUACUGAAAGAAAAAGGCCGAGCUCACGGACGCCAUGCUGGGGACUGUACCAGCCACUGAGCAGAAAGGAUGCAGGGAUGGCACCACAGAGCAGGAAGAGGGGCAGCUCUCAGGCAGCCAUGUGGGAGCUCUGGAGGCGCAGGCCUCAGGGCCCAGCGGUGGCAGGGAUCGCCCUCUUCUUGAAGUCAGUUUCUUCUCUGAGGUUGUUGGAGAGCACUGGAAAGUAACCAGGGGAAAUUAGAAGCAAAUUUAUCUAGAGCCCUGGAGGUCAAGGGCUUCUGCGACAAGUCCUUGAACAUGGUGACUAUGGGUGCGUCUUCUCCUUGUGGUGGCAGGACUGCUUCCCAAAGCGAUUAAAGGGAAGCUGUGCUACACUGGGUUUGACACCAGCAUAGAGACUUCACCAAAAACCCAGAAAGCACCCUGCAGAGAGGAACUUCCCCUGGUCCCAGGCCCUUCUCCACUCUUCCCAGGGUGCUGGAUUGUUGAACUGGCCGAGAUUGGAGCCUUAGAUCCCAGAUGCUGAUGUUAACAGCAUCCAAGAAGACAGUGUGGAGAAAUAGUUGCUGAUGUAUCUCCCAGCACUCAAGGAACCGGAAAUUAAAUGCAAACCAUAUGGGUUCUGUGAAGAUAUUAUGUCACAUAAGGCAAAAAAGAGGCAGAAGGAAAUAUUGUUCAUAAUAUUACUAUAAUAAACAGAAAAAAACUAUUUACCAGCACAUGCUUUGUACUCUCAAAACUCAAGGAAACAUGGAAAAAGGAGAAGAAAGAUGAGUAGUAAGAAAUUAGAGUUGAGAAGAGAACAGAUUGAGACCAAGCAGUAAUUAAAAAUAAAUGAGAUAAGAAAAGAAUUUCAGGAACUACCUUGGUACUUCUCAGAAGAAACCAUCAGAAACACUAAAGUAUAAGGAGCUGUUAAUAGCUUAAAAUCUGC
ensembl:lncRNA